AGGGUGAAAUCGGUGAGCCCGGACAGAAAGGCAGCAAGGGCGACAAAGGAGAAAAUGGUCCUCCCGGCCCCCCAGGUCUUCAGGGUCCCGUCGGCGCCCCUGGAAUUGCUGGAGGUGACGGGGAGCCAGGGCCCAGAGGUCAGCAGGGGAUGUUUGGACAGAAAGGGGAUGAGGGAGCAAGAGGCUUCCCGGGACCCCCUGGUCCCAUCGGUC